UUAUUUUUCAUUAUUUACAAUUUACCUAAAUCUACAAUCGAAACUCAUAAAACUUUAUUCACAAUAAUUAUAUAUUACACAUUUUAUUAGAUGAUACUACAACAUUAUAUUGACUUAUAUUCACUUACAAAAAAUAAAAAAAUAAAAAUGUUUAAAAAAUAAAUCUAUCAAUUCUUUUACAAAAAUAUGUAAUUACAAAUACAAUGUCAUUCUAUCAAUACACUAUUUUCACAAACCUUUUUAUUUGUAAAAUCCAUGGAUCGAAAACAUUGUUUUGUCUCCUUUUUUUUCUCUCAUAUCUCCAUCUCAAACAUACAAUGACAAUACACUUGGCAAAACUUUAUCAAAAAUCGAAAAUCAAGCGCAAAUCAUAGCAACAAAAAAGAGUAUAAAAUACUGGUAUAUCAGACUUUCCAAUAACACAGCUUAAUAACAGCUCCAAUAACAGUUACAUUUAAGACCUACACAUUUUACAAAAUUAAAAAACACAAUAUCCAUGUAUAAAUAUUCAAAACGACAUAUUUAAUCACAGAUGUUCAACAAACAGGCUGAGAAGAAGUUGAUGCAUCACAGAAGAAGUGACAGAGAGAGAGUGAGAGAGAGGGAGAGAGACAGACAAUAAAUAAAAUCCUCUGAGAUUAAUUAAUUAUUAAAAAAAAAUAAUGUAGUAAUUUUAGCAUUCUUAAUUAAUUUUUCACAUACUUCCAAGUUACUAUUUUAACCUACCACUAUCUAUAUAUUAUUUUAUUAAACUCUCUCAAAUUCAUAUGUAAAUUACCC